rnacentral:lncRNA from 7 species
AAACAGCACAGCAAGAAGAGGAGAGGAAGGGCAUGAACUUCCAUUGCCAACCAGACAGCAGCUUUGUGUGCCGUGCUCUCCUGCUCUGUCCCCACUCAACCCAGCCUUGGAGAGAUGUCUUUGUGUGCUGGUGGACUUUCCUGAGCUUUUCUGAAGCACACUGAAGUGGCAGCACUCUGUUCUCCAGCAGCUUCUGUCUCCGCAGAUAAGAGCAUUCAGAGCUGCAGCGCCGACAAUCCUCCUUGAGCCAGCCUAAACUGCUGUGUCGAGAUCACGAACACAGAGUGGGAGAUGGACCCAAAGUAGGGCCUUUAAACACCUAAUGCAGUCAGGCUGACUCGGACUGCAUGCAUAAGGAACUGCCAGCAUGGCUGCACCAAAAGGAUUUUUAAAGUCUGCUGAAAGGUAGAUGCUAUAUAAAACCAUAGACAGGAGGAAACAAUCUCUCUUUCCCUCUACACUUGGCUGCAGAUCCCUAUGGUGUUCAUGAAGUAACAGACUAGAUCAAGGAGCCUUCCAAUUUUCACGACCAGGGAAAAUAAAUACCUAAAAACGUUUGGACACAGGCGGGAUUUCUGUGCUUGUCUCCAGGAAACAAGGUCAACAAUGUCAUGGAACUCUCUGCCCAACUUCAACCACACCUGCAGGCCAUUGCCCAGCUAUUCCCAUCACAGGAACUCCCAUGGGACAGCAGAAACCCACCUGGGAGAGCCACAAUGGAAGCAGCUGGGUGAACGUCCGUCUCUACUGCUUGCCAGGAUUUUCUCUCCUCUCACUUCCUCCUUCAUCAAUUUGUUGUUCUCCAUGCUCUGUAUUCCUACCUGGAAGUGGAAACCAGCAUCCCCAAGUUUCCUUCUGAAAAUGCUGUUCCCGCAGUAUUUGCUCUUUGACUGGCAUCAGUGGUUUUGGGGAGAUUUCCGAGCAGUCUGUUCACGCACAACUCUGCCAAAUUUUGCAGAUGUUAGGAAGUUCAGAUAAGACAAGAACCAGGCAGAGCUCUCUGCAAAAUCCCCCACACUUCUGACCUCCACCAUGGCCUCUCCCCCCAAAGCUUCUGGCCCUGGCAUGAAAACAGGACAGAGGAAGAGUGUGGAUCUCAGAAGUCAUUACUAGUUUUCAACCGAGAAGAUUCACUGAUCCUAUUGUGAACAGUCUGCUUCAGCUGGAGCCUCCAGAAACACGCACACAGCCUUAUUCUGUCUGUGCGUGAAGGCAAUAAGAACCUCAGUUUGGAAACCAGUUAGCAGUACAAGUCAUUAGGGGAGGUACUAAAUGUUGCUGCUUUAAUAGCUCACUGAUCAUUUAAUAAUGUCGCUGCUGCAGAGCAUGGUGGCACCAUUCGCCUGCUUUUGUUUUGCUUUUUGAAAUUCAGGGUCAUUCCGCUUUGAAGUGAGUGGAUUCUCUCUCCUUCCCCCUCUUGCCAGACACUGCAAACUGCUUUAAAUAAUUAGGGAAAGGAUGGCUCCUUCAAGUUCGUCAUCUCAUUUUCAUAAGGUCCAGUGUCAUUGCUUUGGAACAGGAAGAGAGGCGGUGGUGGUGGCGAG